GCCUUCGUGGUGUAAUGGUCAAGCACACUCGACGUGUAUUCGAAAGGUCCAAGGUUCGAGCCACGGCGAGGGCA
rfam:Stegodyphus mimosarum contig56361, whole genome shotgun sequence.